AAGAGGAAUGGUGUUGGAUCUUCUAGUUACAAACCACAGGAUCUGAAAGAUAACAACGAAUGUCCCCAGCAAGCUCCGAUUCGGGAAGUCGUUGGUUGAAUGGCGUGAUCUGUAAAGGGAUCUGACCUCCAGAGAGACUGACUCAUAAAUAAUUAUUACUUUUUAUAAUACAAAUGUUUUUUGAAGAACAGCUAAAGUCUUUAUUUAAAAAGCAUUAUGCCCCUAUGAGAUUUUUCCAUCCCUAAGAUUAAUAUCAUAGUUGGGAAGGCCUGGGUGUUUUUCUACCUUAUAAUCAUACAUGAAGAAUUAUUUUGUGCAGUGCCACAGGUUAAAUGCAUAUCAUGAAAUCCACUUCCCUCCCUAUUGCCAUUUCUGUCACUUAAUUCAAUGAAAGUCCACAAAAAUACAGUAUGACUCAGAAUAUUGGAGCUAUGGCUAAGCAAGAAAAGUUCAUUCAAAAUUGAUUUUCUUUCAGGAAUCCUUGAUAUUCUUCAUUCCAAUUGUUCACCUCUACUGUAGGGCUCAGUAAACACUUAAGGAAGUUGCCAUGCACUGCAGCCUGCCGGAGACAUGAAGGAAUGUACAGGAGGAUAAUCACAACAUCAUCAACCCAAUUCUCCAAGUCAUUUGCCGUGGAAGAUGCACACCCAAUGUUUUGGGAAGACAAUGGGAAGGCUCUGUUUUCUGCUACGAGAGUGAUUCAACCACUGGGAUCUGGAAGGGAAUGAAGGGCUGUGUGGCUGCUUGAUUUUCAUCAUCUAGCUGCAGCCAAAGUUGGAAGAGAGGGAAGUGCAGGCUUAAAGGGCAAGUAGCGACAGCCCAUCAGUGAUCUAGCAACACGACAGAUGACAGGCCCAGAGGCAAACCGGGGCCACCAGCCCAUCAGCCUGCGCAGGCUGCCAAAGAGCAGCUAGCUGCAGCUAUGGAGGAAGAUCAUCCAGGCUUGAGCAUUUGGGCCUUGCUGGGUCCAAAGUCUUUGUGCCCUAGAAACAGCCCUCUCCAUAGAGAGACCCAUUCCUAAAAACCAGUGAAAAGGAACCAAAGUGGAACAGACGCAGAGAAAGGAGGACCACUCUAUCAUUCUUGUGCAAUAAUACUUCCUAGGCAGAAAAUAUGCCAUAAAAAAUAUUCCGUUCUGCAAAGCUACGUCUUGGAGGAGGAGGGCUUUCAUAGCAGUAGUGAAUAAGUGGGCCAUUGCUGACGUUUAUCAGAAAUGCCAAGUCACAGGAAGAAAGCGCUUGAGGUCACAGGGCAGCACAGGUCUGCCUGUGGUAAUUGAAAACAGGUGAUGAGAUUGGGUGGAUUUUAUUUUGGAAAGGUAAAUCGGUGCUGCAGCACUCUGACAUGGGUAAUUCAUGAAGCCUCUGGUUUGGAUUAGACACCCAACAUGCCUUUCAGAAAGAAAUGACACAACAAUUAACGUGUCAAAUAAUAAUGUGCCACUUGGAGAUGGAUAAUUGUACCCAGCGUUAGGUAGUUAUUAGGUCAGAACGAAUGCUCAUCCUUUCAAAGGCAGCAGCGUCUAUUCACGCUGGCAUCCCACUGUAAGUACAGUAUUGUGUUCAUAAUCACACGGGCUGAAGCUGGGAACAUUGGGUUUUAUCUGAUUCUUCUCCAUUUGGAAAAAUACUCUGAUGAUUCCCUAAACAGCAAACUCAGUCAUGUGAAACACAAAUGAGUAUGAUGAAAGAUUGUCAUAGUCGGAGGAGAGGCUUUCUUUGCUUUUCACAUAAAAUAAAGCAGGAGGACUGUCCCUAAGAAGCUUUGAGCAUAUGCAACAAAAACUAUCAGACCUCAGUUUGCUCAUGUGUAAAAGAUAGUCUUUCCUCCUGAUGAUUUAAUGCACGAGGACAUCCGUCAGUCACAUCAUGGCCUCGGAAGUCCUUGUUCAAUUUCUGGUGCCAUAACUUACUCGAUGUGGGAUUUGGACAAGUCAUUUAACCUCACUGAGAUUCUGUUUCCUCAUUUGAAAAAUAGAAAUAGAAGAACCUGCUAUAUAUUCAGCUCCACAUUUGUUGAGAAGGUCAAAGAAAGGAUAUGAAAAGAUAUUUUGCAAAUAUAAAGGAUUAUAUAAAUAUAAGACACUAUUUUAUUAAUGUUUCAGAUCAAUUAAUGUUCAAUUUAUGGUCAAAUAUGCUAUCUUUUGAGCAGAGACAGUUUUACCUUAGAAAAACUGGGCGAUGGCUUCAGUCCUUACAAAUCAAAGGACUUUUUCAUGAAUCUGGGCCCUCAUUACCACCUGCCCAAGACUAAAUUAAAUACUCACUUUAUCCAACCAGGAAUGAGAAACUGAAAUAAGUAAUUAUUAUGUAUACAUUUGCUUCUGCUUCAUCUACUCAAGCAUAUUUGUGGUGAGAUAUAAAACAAAAUAUUUAGCCAUUUUUGGAAGGAGAGAAAUACUGUGUUUGGGGGCAUUUCACCUGCAUAGCCUGUUAAACUGGUUAUUGUCCAAAAGUAUUUAAAGGAAAUAAAAUAUGAUUAUGUGCUACA